CCUUCACAGAAACUUUCCACAGAAGUCAAACAGUUAAAGCAAAUUCUAGAUACAUGGUAGAGACCAGGAAAAAAUAUGAAUAAUUUUCUUCUAAACAAGGAGCUCAGUGGAUAAAACAUACCUCUAGAUUCCUUGCUUCAAUUUUCCCAGAAACAAGAUAAGGAAGAGAAAGAUCAGUGUGUGUCAACAAACUUGGGCCUUAUUAUGCAAGAACUUUCUUAAAAAAUGGAGAACGAAAAGAGAGUCCUUAAUGGAAUGGCUGAACUCAUUGCUCCUACUACUUUGUUUGUAUAUAUAUCCUCAUAGUCAUCAAGUAAAUGAUUUUUCUUCACUGCUUACCAUGGACCUGGGAUGGGUAGAUACAUUUAAUGAAUCCAGAUUUUCUGUUGCAUACACACCUGUCAACAACACAACCCAAUAGAUAAUGAAUAAAGUAGCCUCUACUCCCUUCCUGGCAGGUAAAGAGGUCUUGGGACUGCCAGAUGAGGAAAGUAUUAAAGAAUUCCAAGCAAAUUAUCCUGAAGAAAUAGUAAGAGUCACCUUUACUAAUACAUACUCAUAUCAUUUGAAGUUCUUGCUAGGACAUGGAAUGCCAGCAAAGAAGGAACACAAGGACCGUACAGGUAAUUUUCUGGCUCUAAAAUUUCACUACACUCUAUUUCAAUUAUGUCAUA